rnacentral:rRNA from 1 species
AAUGUGGAAUUCGCCCUUGUGCCAGCCGCCGCGGUAAUACGUAGGUGGCAAGCGUUGUCCGGAAUUAUUGGGCGUAAAGGGCUCGCAGGCGGUUUCUUAAGUCUGAUGUGAAAGCCCCCGGCUCAACCGGGGAGGGUCAUUGGAAACUGGGGAACUUGAGUGCAGAAGAGGAGAGUGGAAUUCCACGUGUAGCGGUGAAAUGCGUAGAGAUGUGGAGGAACACCAGUGGCGAAGGCGACUCUCUGGUCUGUAACUGACGCUGAGGAGCGAAAGCGUGGGGAGCGAACAGGAUUAGAUACCCUGGUAGUCCACGCCGUAAACGAUGAGUGCUAAGUGUUAGGGGGUUUCCGCCCCUUAGUGCUGCAGCUAACGCAUUAAGCACUCCGCCUGGGGAGUACGGUCGCAAGACUGAAACUCAAAGGAAUUGACGAGGGCCCGCACAAGCGGUGGAGCAUGUGGUUUAAUUCGAAGCAACGCGAAGAACCUUACCAGGUCUUGACAUCCUCUGACAAUCCUAGAGAUAGGACGUCCCCUUCGGGGGCAGAGUGACAGGUGGUGCAUGGUUGUCGUCAGCUCGUGUCGUGAGAUGUUGGGUUAAGUCCCGCAACGAGCGCAACCCUUGAUCUUAGUUGCCAGCAUUCAGUUGGGCACUCUAAGGUGACUGCCGGUGACAAACCGGAGGAAGGUGGGGAUGACGUCAAAUCAUCAUGCCCCUUAUGACCUGGGCUACACACGUGCUACAAUGGACAGAACAAAGGGCAGCGAAACCGCGAGGUUAAGCCAAUCCC